rnacentral:rRNA from 1 species
AUGCUGCCGCCGGCUUGUGAUAACUCCUCCACAGGUCAGCCAGUACGAAGUGUGGAAGAAGGGGAAAAUCUGAAGGAGAUCAGAAGAGAGAAUUCAGAGACAUGCAUAUCAAAUUUCAAAAGUAAAUUGUCCAUGGUGGCGAAUUGUGAACAAGUUAUGAGGACUGCUAACAUGCAAAGCGCUGAUGUUAGAGUUCAGACUGUUGUUGAAUUGUUCAAGAAAGUAUAUCAAGAUCUACCGCCGAGGUUGCAGGAAAAAUUGCGAGCCGAUCUCAAUGCUGGCAUCUUUAAGCAUGCUGAAGAAAAAUAUGGGCUGCCUAAAUCAAAAGAAACUACUACCAAAAAGCUUGGCGGUUGGACUAUAGGCAGUAUAGUUCUACCAGUCGUCUUGGGCUUUUUGAUGUUCAUCAUAAGCCUAUAUUUUUACUGA